GGGGGCGAAUGGCUUCGACCGGAUGGCGGAUGGAUAAGCUGCGUGCCCAGGACGCCGGUUGGCCUGGUUAAUCAUCCGGUACCUAAAUUCUAAAUGGCAACUACCAAUAUGCCAUGGCGGCGUAGAUAACGCUGCCCGUCCUGUCGGAUUGCGCCUGCGGGUCCGGCAAGGGCGUCAAUUAGUGGGCUGGCUUCCGUCGGUCGUCCGGGCCGACGGGGGCGAGAUGCACCGGAAUAGCCGAGUUGGGAGCCUGUCGUUCGGCGCUCAGCGAAGCGAAAUCUCAAUGGAGCGACUACGCACGUAGCAUGCUUGUCUUGAAGCAUCUCGGGACGGGGGUUCGAAUCCCCCCGCCUCCAUUC
rnacentral:tmRNA from 1 species